rnacentral:lncRNA from 1 species
CUUUUUUUGAAACUGAAUUCUGCUCCACCACAGUCUUACCCUGGUGUUUCUGCAGGAUCCACAUCAGACCCUGCUUCAGGUGUGGAUGUCUUAGUUAAUCAGGUGGCACUGUUGAUCCCCCAUCAAUGGACUUCUGAGAUCACCACCAUUAUUUCCUCAAUUUGUUUGACUCUUUCUCUACCAUGCAUUCAUCUGUGAGAAGGUUAACGCGUGAUUCUCAUGACAACGUGAUUGGCAGCCACAAAGUCUAAGAGACUCCUCAGACAACCUCUAACAAACAGCCAUUAACAAACUGAACACACCUAAAAUGUCACUGAUUUGUCUUGGAAGACAGAAUACUAAGCAAGAUAAAUGGCACUAUACAUAUAGAUAAUUUGUGUAUGUAAGACUAUUAGUUCAUUAGAUAACUAAUCUCACUACUUUAUUUAAAAGAAAAUGUAAGUAGGAAUCCAUUUCUAAAUCUUUUCAAAUUACAGGUUGGGCACAAUAAACAACCAAGUAUAAGGAGCUCAGAAGAUUUCCAUCUAAAUAGUUUCAAUAAUCCUCCAAGACAAUAUCAGAAAAUAAUGAAAAGGCUCAUUAAAAGAUAUGUACUGCAGGCCCAGAUAGAUAAGGAGAGUGAUGAAGUGAACGAAGGUGAGUUGA